AUAACUCGCGCGCCACGCGCGGGAGCACGCGUCGAGCACGGGAGAGGGCGAGCUGCUCCUCCAUUCCUCCGCCGGCGACGCCAUAUAAGCCGACCAGCCGACCAACCUUCUCUCCCUCUUGCCCUUGUCUCGUUUCGCGGAAGAACCGAGGCAUCUCGUCUCGGGUUCGCUGGGAACGGAGGUGCCAUCUUCGGCGCCGGCGAGAGAAGUCCUCGACGCCAUCGACGCCAAUCUCCGGGAACGCGACCGCGUCAUUACUCGGAACGCCGCCGCGCUCUGGGCACCGUCGCAUCGCUGUUGCUCGUCGCCCGGCUUCCACAGUCCACCAUUGGUCAGGCCAUCUCGCCAACAUCUUCACCAGCACCCAUUGACCAAGAACCCCGAAGGAAUCGGCACGAGGUGGACCACGGUGGGAGAUCCCCUUCUUCUUCCCCAACUCCGACCGCCGACGCCAUUUCUCUCUUCCUCUUUCUCUGAUCAAGGCCGGAGGAGCACUGCCGACGACGACCGUAGCAGCCGCGCCGUCGCCGAACCAGCACACCGUCGCCAAGACUUCGCCGAGCCGCGUUCGCUGCUUGCCCAUGGCUGGUUCUUGGAAUCGUUGAGCUGAGCUGGAGUUUUUAUUCGAUGGAGUGGAGUUUGCCUUUGCUGCUCUUCGACUCUUAUAUAGAGAAGACCAGUUUACUUGAUGCAGGAAACAAAGGCCAGGAAUGAUCAAGGGCCUGUUGCUGAUCACGUUGCGCAUCGUACCACAUGGAGAACCAUCCGAAAAACCUCAGAACACAAAGCAUCUAUGAUUUUCUCCAUCGAGUUUGCUGCCCCAAUCACAUUUUGGCCCUUUAGUUCAAAGUUGUUCAUUUGCUCGGAAAGGAGACCACAUAUCCAUUCAGUAUGAGAUACCAAGGAAGCCCACUAAGAUGAUAGUUGGCAACAACCUAGCCAAAAGAACCUAAGGUGGCUUUUAAAUUUUGCCAACAUAUUGUGUCUGCUUUUGAUUUGGGCGUAGUAGUUUUAGUUGGUGACCGUAGUGUCGUGUUUUCUUAGAAUAAGCUCUCACAUUAGUUGGUGGCUUGGUGCUAUCAUGAGAAUGGUCAAUGUUCCUCACUCCUGAUUAGAUUUAGGUGUUGUUUCUGUUGGUGAUGACAAGUGCAACAAUUACUCAAGGCCUGUCAUUCUCUCCUGCAGGUACAAAGCUUUCAUGUUUGCAGGACCAAAGCAACCAUUUAUGCUGUUGUGCUUCUGUUGUCGAUUGAACUAGGAUGAGAAGCUUGCACAUGGACUUAUAAAAGAUGAAGUCCUGUAUGAACGGGCUCUUACUACAAAGAGGCAGACAUGUUCUCUUUUCUUUUUCUUUGUUCUGCAUAUUAGUACUCUGAAAUAAUGUACCGUGUAUACAUUGUUUCCUUAAUCUUUCCUGUAAUAUUUAUUGUUCUCUCUAUUUCCUUUUUGUUGCCGCGCAGCGUAGCGCGUGAACC